ACUGCAAUAUACACAGUCGACUGGAAGAAAUCCUCGACCUCAGCAUACAUGAAGCCAUAGCAAGAAGCAGGAAAAGCCACAGCAGAGAUUGGAUGGAGCAUAAUUUUUUGUAUGUCUCGGCGCCUCUAUGGAUGUCAUAUUUAGAUCAGAUGCAAUCUGAGCCUUGUUCUGAAUUUCAAAAUCCCCUUUGACAACACCUGCACAGCUGAGGUAGUGUAAACUUAAAAAUUGAGGACAACCAAAGAAUCACCAAGAAAAGAUUAUCAAUUCAACUAACAUUGAUGAAUGAACCAAUGCAUUAUGUCAGAGGAAUCUAGCUGGAGCACCUAUUUAGCAGCCAGGACACAUAGAUGUACCUGUACAGUUGAUACAGAUAAUCUCAACGGCACAUUUCUAAAUGAUGGCCAAAAAAAUCUAAUAAAGACACUGUCAGUUUAAAACUUUUUGAAAGAAAUCCGGACCAGAAACAAAGGAUAUUGAUUUUUAAGCUCCUCCAAAUGUAAAGGGGGUUUUAUUGAAGCCAAGACCUGGAUACACCCAAGGAUAUUUAAUAUUACACCCCUUCAACAUAAAAUUUUGAAUUUUAGUUUGCCUAUCUAGUCAAGAACAUGGAUUUUUUGACAUUUGAUACACUUUAUAAUGUUAUAUUGACAUUUUUUCAAGAUUUCUUUACUGUAAACUAUGUACAUGUAUUUCAGCAAAAAGUACAUUUACAGAUGAUUUUUCAAAAAUUGCUUUAAAAAUACAAUUGAAAUAAUUAGAUCAUGUCUCAUAAAUGGUUAAUCACAGUUACCACAGAAACCAAUAUUUGUUUUAAAGAAGUUAGGUACCAAAAAAAAAAUGUUGUGUCUUUCAUUAUUUUAGCUAAUGGCCACUUAUACAGUUUUCUUCAUACAAACUAAUCACAUUGACUAAAUUGUAUAGGCAAAUACAAUAUUUUUGGAGAUGUUGUCAUGGUAACCAGAUACAAAUCACAAAAGCAUAUUUAAAAAUAUAUAUAUUUUCAUGCAUUUACAAUAAACUGUGAAAAUAAUACAUGUAUGUUAGUCAAUAAUUAUUUUGUAUUUCAUGGAGAUUUUGUAAAGUCAAUUUUUUUAAAAAAGCAUUUCCAGAACAAUUUGUUACCAUGGUUACAAAAAUUUAUGAGAAAUCCACUGGUUUUAUCUAAUAUUUGCAAGGUUUAGGAGAACAUUUUUUAUCUUAUAUUAUCAAUUUCUUUUGCUUGUGGUAUUUUUUCCACAACAUACUCUGAAAAUGAUAUUUUGGUAUUUUCUUGAAAAAUGAAUUUUUGUGAUAUUCUGUUGCCAUGGUUACAGAAUAUUUUUGAAAAACCCAUGGGUUUUGUUUUGUUUUAUUACAAUAAGGAUUGUGGUCUUUCUAUCCCACGCUUUCAGUUUUCUUUACCAUGUGGGAUUUUUUCUAACUAUGCUCUUAAAAAUGGUUAUUAUUGUGAAAAAUGAAUUUUUGUGACAUUUUGUUGCCAUGGUAACAGAAUAUUAUUUAAAAACCCAUGGGUUUUAUUUAAUUUUAUUGAAAUUAAGAAAGUGCUCUUUCUAUUCCACAUUAUCAGAUUUCUUUAACAUGUGGGAUUUUUUCUUACUAUGCUCCUAAAAACGGUUAUUAUUGUGAAAAAUGAUUUGUUGUGACAUUUCGUUGCCAUGGUAACAGAAUAUUUUUAAAAAACCCAUGGGUUUUAUUUAAUUUUAUUAAAAUUAAGAAUGUGCUCUUUCUAUCCCAUGUUAUCAGAUUUCUUUAACAUGCGGGCCUUUUUCUUAAUAUGCUUCUAAAAUAUGUUGGAUUUGAAGAAAUAUUGUGAAAAGUGAA